rnacentral:rRNA from 1 species
GAGNNUCUGAUGCAGCCAUACCGCGUGUAUGAAGAAGGCCUUAGGGUUGUAAAGUACUUUCAGCGAGGAGGAAAGGUGGUAACUUAAUACGUUAUCACUGUGACGUUACUCGCAGAAGAAGCACCGGCUAACUCCGUGCCAGCAGCCGCGGUAAUA